rnacentral:SRP_RNA from 1 species
GCCGAGCUUGGUAACGCUUGCUUGUAACCUAAGUUGGGGGCAUUAAGGUGUUGGAAAAGUAUAAUGUGUGCCAAAAAAGACAUGAAACUCAUAUGGGCUGAAAACACAAUCUUU